rnacentral:sRNA from 1 species
AGUGAGCGCGUUAGGGAUUGCAGUGGUAUCCUUUUUUGAGGUACGAAAAAAAGAUAUAACGGAAAGCCCGCUCGAAC